AUUUCCUCCUCUCUUCUCCCUCUUCCCCUCUCCUUCUUUCUUUUUAACAAUAACUUUUUUAUUCUGAUCCUAUGGACCUGGAGACAGACAUUCGGAACUGGUUUUGAGUUUGUUUUGUCAUCAUUCUAUGUGAGGUUUCUGAGAAAUUCUCUGAGCAUCUACUCUUUCUAUUCCCCACACAUAAAAUAGGAAUAGAAACCCCACCCAACUCUGAGUUUCUUGUUGUAAUUAAAUGGGAUAAUUUGCAUGAAGCAAGUAUUCGAGUGCCUAGAACAUCAUAAACAUCUAAUCAAUGUUAGCAUUUUUAUCAUCACCUUCCCCUUUCAUAAAUUUAAAAGAAAUUUCUGUACUUUGGCCAAUCCCAGAAUGCUAAUCCUUACAAGGUAUGCAUUUUAUAAUUUAAAAUAAAAGCUCUUAAAAAUUAUGGCGUUCUCUGGAAACUUCCCAAUCAACCAACUUUGCCAGUGUGUGAAUAAAUGGCUUUGGUCACCUCACAAUUUAGAAUUGGAUGCUUUUCCUGGCCCUGUGCCAUGUCUCCUUUCUCCCACACGAGUGUCUCUGCUGGAUGUUCAGUCUACAAAGGAAAUUGCUUUACGGGCCACAAGUCUGCCCAGAUGCACAGGGUGCAGCCACGGAAAUGCAGCCACGGGCGCACCGAGCUCAGGGCCGAGGCUGUGCUCUUAUCAGCCCUGGGCUUGGCUAAGGCAGGGAACACAGAGCCAUUCUCCUUUAGGAAACUGAGGACAGCCAGAAUCCCACAGCUCCCCUUCGUAAGGGGCCUUUAGUUACUUCUCAGCUGUGUCUUCCUAAAGGGACGGGCCAUGGACUCAUGCAACUGUGACCACAGCCUGGAGGCCAGGGGGACAAGCAAACAUGGAGUUUCAGGGAGAAAUUAAGAAGAGGAAAUAUUUUGUAAAACAACAAAACCAUUAAUUAUUCCUUUCCUGCCUGUUCCCUAAUUACUCCCCAGCUUCUGAAAUGAAGGUGCUUUGCUGGGCAGAAGAGGAUUCUGCACACUCCUGUGGCCGUCAAAAGCUCGAUGUUAGAGUCCAGAACAAACGGACCAAGACCUGUUCCCAUGCAGCCUACCAGGAAGUAGAUAAGAGCAGAGAGCCCCAUAAUCCAUGAGCAGAGAGCCCCGUUAUUGAUGGACUGAUGGACGCUGACAGAGCAUCUUGGACAAUUACCUGGGCGAGGAUGCAGCAAAACUGACUCGGCUGAAUGGAUUAACCAAGGAGGUAUAUGGCUGAGGGAAAGUAUAGCUUUCAAGAAUGAAGCUAAUGACCUGUUGAGGGCCAAGCAGAAAGUUGCCAGUAGGAGUUGCUCAAUGGAGGCGCAGGAUGUCCUAUCAAGUGUAGCGAACAACACGAUAGGGAUUCUGAAAAAAGAAGUUUUUACCUAGGGCAGUUUGCAAGUAGCAGGACCAGCCAGUGAAGGGAGUCCAGUUCCUGAAAGGAGGAACCAAGAAGAGCAUGCCAGGAUGCCCACCCCAUGAUGAAACCAGGGGCCAGGUCAGGAAAUGGAAUCAAUAUCAUCACAGAAGUGGACUUCAGAACAAAGAGGAGACCUGUUUCAUGGCCAAGGUACCCAGUUGAAGUCAGACAAAAAGCAAAAGCCACCUGACGAAGGGUUUACAGGGCGCAGGACAAGAGUCAAUGACACCUCCUGCCUCAGAGCAGGGUUGGUGUUGGGGCCAGAGGGAACGAAGGAGGCCCGCCAGGUAUGAGGUGUAGAAGCCAGGAUCCAAACAGAUUUUUGGGAAAAAUGUUAGUCUCUUUGGGUCUCACAAAAUUUUAAAUUCUUCCUCAUGGAAAACAACAACAAAGACAAACUCCAAGUAGUAGGAUCCAGUGGCUAAGAAUUUAGGCUCUAGGAUCAGGCAAAUCUAGGGUCAAGUUCAUAAACUGAGUAACCGUCUGGCCCCGGAAGGUUACUUAAUGUCUCCAAGACAUGGAGCCGUUGCUUUUAAGUCAAUACAGAGUGUCUUUCAUAGGGCUGGGAAAUUCAAAUGAGAAAAUAAACAGAAAAUUCCCAGGGCCUGAGAUGUAAUAGAAAUUCAGUAAAUGGUGGCUUAAAAGAAAACAAUGUUCUCCAGCAGCCUCCACUUAGCAUCUCCGCUCGCAGCGAGCAGAGCAAGAUGAAAGGAAAGGCAGCUUGCUGUUGCUGUCAGAGGUUCUAAUUUUAGUGAGUGUCCUUGCUCUUAGCAUCUCUCUUCCUUACUUCCUUACACUUCCAUUUGUUAUUAAAAGAAUGAAGACUUUCUCUCCCUCUUUUUGUGACAUACAAGGAUUUCCUACACAGAGAGAUAUUUAACAUUCUCCCGAUGCUCAAGGCCAGGCAUCAGGUUAGCAUAGCUACACCUGGAUUUGGAUCUGGAGACAAAUUGCUCCUUCAUUACAGAACCAGUGAGAAGCAUCCAAUUUUUAAGGUUGUUAAACCUGCAAGGGCAACAGAGAACCAAAUGCAUGUAUAAUGAAGAAUGGCCGCACACGGGCACAGCGUCUUAUCUCAGAGCCAAAAGAGAAACACACACAACCCCAUGCCCAGAAAGACAUUUUGACAGUAGAAACAGGGUAAGACUAUCCUAUUUAGAUAUGAUAAGCAAGAUGUGAAAUGUCAAUGAAGUUUACUUUUCCUAAGGCAAGGGAUGCCAAGGAGUCAGCUACCAUUUUGAGAGCGUCUCUGAACACCUGUCACGCGCACAGGCCUCUCUAUACGUCUCAGAGAUACAAGGACUCCCUCUCUAAAGACCCCCGCCUGCUGGCCCCUCACCUAUAGUGCUGCUGCUGACAAACACGCACUCCCCAGCAAGGCACGGGAAACAAUGGCCCAGUUGCCUGGGGAACCAGGCUUCAUGCAGAAGCCUUGUAGGCUCCGCCUUGGGGCCAGGGCAGCCACAGGAGCAAGCUCAGUUCCCCUCGGUUUGUGGCCCUCCUCGAGGACUCCAGAGCUGUUCAGGGAGACCUGCAACCACUUUAGUGCAUUUAUCUGCUGCUGUGGGAAGAAGCCUUACAUAUCCUGUAGUCAGUUGAAUCCAGCCCUCAUUUUCCCUCAGUUCUCACUCCUUCCUGCACCCGUCCCCACUCACAGCAAACUUCAUCCAAACUGCCAUGUAAAAGUGGCCUCCAAAUUGAACUCAAAGGAAGGGUACCUGUGCUAGGUUUCA